rnacentral:rRNA from 1 species
UAGGGAAUCUUCGGCAAUGGACGGAAGUCUGACCGAGCAACGCCGCGUGAGUGAAGAAGGUUUUCGGAUCGUAAAGCUCUGUUGACGGGGACGAACGUGCGAAGGGUGAAUAAUCCUUUGCAAUGACGGUACCUAUCGAGGAAGCCACGGCUAACUACGUGCCAGCAGCCGCGGUAAUACGUAGGUGGCGAGCGUUGUCCGGAAUCAUUGGGCGUAAAGGGAGCGCAGGCGGGCAUGUAAGUCUUUCUUAAAAGUUCGGGGCUCAACCCCGUGAUGGGAAAGAAACUACAUGUCUUGAGUACAGGAGAGGAAAGCGGAAUUCCCAGUGUAGCGGUGAAAUGCGUAGAUAUUGGGAGGAACACCAGUGGCGAAGGCGGCUUUCUGGACUGCAACUGACGCUGAGGCUCGAAAGCCAGGGGAGCGAACGGGAUUAGAUACCCCGGUAGUCCUGGCCGUAAACGAUGGAUACUAGGUGUGGGAGGUAUCGACCCCUACCGUGCCGGAGUUAACGCAAUAAGUAUCCCGCCUGGGGAGUACGGUCGCAAGACUG